ensembl:snoRNA SNORA18 small nucleolar RNA SNORA18
ACUGAGGUCUAUCCCGACUGACCUUUUGAUUGUAGGGCCAUGUCGUUGGAAAUGCCUCAGAGAGCAUGUCUGUAGUUUUGCUUUACCCACAUGUUUGCUAUAAACAUGCUGGGGGAUAUUGCUGCAGAACACUU